AGAGUUUGAUCCUGGCUCAGGAUGAACGCUGGCGGCGUGCCUAACACAUGCAAGUCGAACGAAGCUUGACGGAUGAUUUCUUCGGAAUGAAACCAGAUAUGACUUAGUGGCGGACGGGUGAGUAACACGUGAGCAACCUGCCUUUCAGAGGGGGAUAACGGCUGGAAACGGUCGCUAAUACCGCAUGAUGUGUUUGGAUGGCAUCAUCUGAACAUCAAAGAUUUAUCGCUGAAAGAUGGGCUCGCGUCUGAUUAGAUAGUUGGUGGGGUAACGGCCUACCAAGUCUACGAUCAGUAGCCGGACUGAGAGGUUGAACGGCCACAUUGGGACUGAGAUACGGCCCAGACUCCUACGGGAGGCAGCAGUGGGGAAUAUUGCACAAUGGGGGAAACCCUGAUGCAGCAACGCCGCGUGAAGGAUGACGGUUUUCGGAUUGUAAACUUCUUUUCUUAGUGACGAAGACAGUGACGGUAGCUAAGGAAUAAGCAUCGGCUAACUACGUGCCAGCAGCCGCGGUAAUACGUAGGAUGCAAGCGUUAUCCGGAUUUACUGGGUGUAAAGGGAGCGCAGGCGGGACUGCAAGUUGGAUGUGAAAUACCGUGGCUUAACCACGGAACUGCAUCCAAAACUGUAGUUCUUGAGUGAAGUAGAGGCAAGCGGAAUUCCGAGUGUAGCGGUGAAAUGCGUAGAUAUUCGGAGGAACACCAGUGGCGAAGGCGGCUUGCUGGGCUUUAACUGACGCUGAGGCUCGAAAGUGUGGGGAGCAAACAGGAUUAGAUACCCUGGUAGUCCACACUGUAAACG
rnacentral:rRNA from 1 species